AUUGAACGCUGGCGGCAGGCCUAACACAUGCAAGUCGAACGAGUGGCGGACGGGUGAGUAAUGUCUGGGAAACUGCCCGAUGGAGGGGGAUAACUACUGGAAACGGUAGCUAAUACCGCAUACCAUCGGAUGUGCCCAGAUGGGAUUAGCUAGUAGGUGGGGUAAUGGCUAACCUAGGCGACGAUCCCUAGCUGGUCUGAGAGGAUGACCAGCCAAACUGGAAUUGAGACACGGUCCAGAAUCCUACGGGAGGCAGCAGUGGGGAAUAUUGGACAAUGGGCGCAAGCCUUAUGCAGCCAUGCCGCGUGGAUGAAGAAGGCCUUCGGGUUGUAAAGUACGUUCAGCGGGGAGGCGUUACCCGCAGAAGAAGCACCGGCUAACUCCGUGCCAGCAGCCGCGGUAAUUC
rnacentral:rRNA from 1 species